rnacentral:rRNA from 1 species
UACGUAGGGGGCUAGCGUUGUCCGGAAUCAUUGGGCGUAAAGAGCGUGUAGGCGGUCCGGUAAGUCCGCUGUGAAAGUCGGGGGCUCAACCCUCGAAUGCCGGUGGAUACUGUCGGGCUAGAGUGCGGAAGAGGCGAGUGGAAUUCCUGGUGUAGCGGUGAAAUGCGCAGAUAUCAGGAGGAACACCUAUUGCGAAGGCAGCUCGCUGGGACGUAACUGACGCUGAGACGCGAAAGCGUGGGAGCAAACAGG